UCCCGCCACAUGGGAAGAGUAAAUGAAGAAAGAGACUGGAGUCUCUCCUCCAGCAUGGUGAGGGACUAGGUAUUCCUGCAGCUGGAGGAGCCACCUGUUUCCCAGGCUGUGCCCCUCCCUCUAGUUGGUCAGGACCUGCCCCUGGAGCUUGCUGGGGCAUGCUUCUCUUAUAAUGGAGGCACUGUUCAAGCUAGAUGGGCAGAGCCUCGCAUGGACGGCAGCCAGGAGCAUCCAAUGGCAACAAACAGCAAGUUUAGGAGAGAUACACGUGGGAAAAACGUCAGUUUAAUGAGAGCCGCCAACCCAGGGCUGGGAAUUCUUCUUGGAAUGAAAUCUCAAAAAUAUGAGAGCCAAGGGAACUGGAAGAGACAGAAAAACUCCCAUCUACACUGGAGAAGGUCCUAUCGCCUCCUUGGAAGACAAAUGCAGAAUGGGAGAAGUCUACUUUGUUGGCACCAGGACCAGUGAAACCUGUGACAUCACAUAGGCGGGAGCUGCAGACCUGUUGCCAAGACAUCAGCCACCAUAUUCUCAGAAUCGACUUGGCUCACCUCCCACCUUUACCUGUGUUACAUCAUUAUCCAUAUAUAUAUAUAUAAGGGGAAUACCCUUCCUUUUCUGUCUCUUCCCCCAUCUCUUCCCACCAUCACCUUCCUUGCCCCUCUCUCUCCUAAUAAACAUCUUACACGUG
rnacentral:lncRNA from 1 species